AUUACUCCUACGGGAGGCAGCAGUAGGGAAUCUUCGGCAAUGGACGAAAGUCUGACCGAGCAACGCCGCGUGAGUGAAGAAGGUUUUCGGAUCGUAAAACUCUGUUGUUAGAGAAGAACAAGGAUGAGAGUAACUGUUCAUCCCUUGACGGUAUCUAACCAGAAAGCCACGGCUAACUACGUGCCAGCAGCCGCGGUAAUAAU
rnacentral:rRNA from 1 species